AACGAACGCUGGCGGCAGGCUUAACACAUGCAAGUCGAGCGCCCCGCAAGGGGAGCGGCAGACGGGUGAGUAACGCGUGGGAACGUACCCUUAUCUUCGGGAUAGCUCCGGGAAACUGGAAUUAAUACCGAAUGUGCCCUUUGGGGGAAAGAUUUAUCGGAUAAGGAUCGGCCCGCGUUGGAUUAGCUAGUUGGUGGGGUAAAGGCCUACCAAGGCGACGAUCCAUAGCUGGUCUGAGAGGAUGAUCAGCCACAUUGGGACUGAGACACGGCCCAAACUCCUACGGGGAGGAGCCAGUGGGGAAAAUUGACAAAUGGCGCAAGGCCGAUCCCGCCAAGCCGCGGGAAGGAAGAAGGCCUUAGGGUUGGAAAACCCCUUCAACGGAGAAGAUAAUGGCCGGAACCGGAGAAGAAGCCCCGGCUAACUUCGUG
rnacentral:rRNA from 1 species